rnacentral:lncRNA from 1 species
GAAGACGUUUCUGACACAAAACCCCAGGGGAAUCCACGGAGGAGCUGGGCUGUCAUUACUUAUUAACGGUGGGCCUGAUCCCCAGCCAGGCUGGCCCAGGGAAAUAGCCUGUAGGGAGGCCGGCCUCGCUGCUACCAGGUGGAUUAACACUUUCAGGGCGGGAGGGAGCUGUUUGGGGGGGGGUCAAUUGUCACAUUGUUGCAUGUAAGAGGGGCCAUUCUUUACACAUUAGACACAGGCGCCUUCUUCCUCGGCGUUCCCUCCCCCUCGGCGUCUGCAUUCUUCUCUUCCCUUCUCCUCCUGCCCGCUCUGGUUUUAAGCCAGCAAACCCACAGGAUGUGGGAGACUGCGCUCGCUCACGGGGAAGAGGAAGAUCUGAGAAAGCACACGGCCCGGAACCUGGGGAUGAUGUCUUCGGAGAGGGCCCGAGGAGGCGGGGAGAGGGAGAGGCAGCGGAGCCGCAGCGGGAGCCGGUACAUCCCGGUUGCAGACCGGGAAAGCCUGGCCCUGAGGGUGAAGUCACCGGGAAACGGAGGGUUCUCGGCCAGCAAUAAGGUGCCCACGGGUAUCAGGACGCUGGAGAAGGUCCCUCGCUGCUCCUCGCCACCGCGCUGUUGAAAUGACAUGGCUAUGGAGGAAUCCUUUCGUUCUGCAAGCGUAACCACAGGAAUCAGGAUGAGCGAAUUCCGCUCCCUGGAAACCCGGGGUGGCAUCUGCUUUGUCCGUAGAGCUCCUAAGCCAGAGUUCCAUAGCCUUUCAUGGCCUUCGUGUUGGGGAUCGAAAUAAAGCCCACGGAAUUCUCUGCUGGGAAAGGUGA